GUAAAGCGAGGAUCUGGGUCACCUCCCACCCGUGUCUAUCGUACCUUGUUGCUUCGGCGGGCCCGCCGUUUCGACGGCCGCCGGGGAGGCCCUGCGCCCCCGGGCCCGCGCCCGCCGAAGACCCCAACAUGAACGCUGUUCUGAAAGUAUGCAGUCUGAGUUGAUUAUCGUAAUCAGUUAAAACUUUCAACAACGGAUCUCUUGGUUCCGGCAUCGAUGAAGAACGCAGCGAAAUGCGAUAAGUAAUGUGAAUUGCAGAAUUCAGUGAAUCAUCGAGUCUUUGAACGCACAUUGCGCCCCCUGGUAUUCCGGGGGGCAUGCCUGUCCGAGCGUCAUUGCUGCCCUCAAGCACGGCUUGUGUGUUGGGCCCCCGUCCCCCUCUCCCGGGGGACGGGCCCGAAAGGCAGCGGCGGCACCGCGUCCGGUCCUCGAGCGUAUGGGGCUUUGUCACCUGCUCUGUAGGCCCGGCCGGCGCCAGCCGACACCCAACUUUAUUUUUCUAAGGUUGACCUCGGAUCAGGUAGGGAUACCCGCUGAACUUAAGCAUAUCAA
rnacentral:rRNA from 1 species